rnacentral:rRNA from 1 species
CCGUACCGCAAACCGACACAGGUAGUCAAGAUGAGAAUUCUAAGGUGAGCGAGCGAACUCUCGUUAAGGAACUCGGCAAAAUGACCCCGUAACUUCGGGAGAAGGGGUGCUCUUUAGGGUUCACGCCCAGAAGAGCCGCAGUGAAUAGGCCCAAGCGACUGUUUAUCAAAAACACAGGUCUCUGCUAAACCGUAAGGUGAUGUAUAGGGGCUGACGCCUGCCCGGUGCUGGAAGUUUAAGAGGAGUGGUUAGCUUCUGCGAAGCCACGAAUCGAAGCCCCAGUAAACGGCGGCCGUAACUAUAACGGUCCUAAGGUAGCGAAAUUCCUUGUCGGGUAAGUUCCGACCUGCACGAAUGGCGUAACGAUGGCGGCGCUGUCUCCACCCGAGACUCAGUGAAAUUGAAAUCGCUGUGAAGAUGCAGUGUAUCCGCGGCUAGACGGAAAGACCCCGUGAACCUUUACUAUAGCUUUGCACUGGACUUUGAAUUUGCUUGUGUAGGAUAGGUGGGAGGCUUUGAAGUGGGGACGCCAGUUCUCAUGGAGCCAUCCUUGAAAUACCACCCUGGCAACUUUGAGGUUCUAACUCAGGUCCGUUAUCCGGAUCGAGGACAGUGUAUGGUGGGUAGUUUGACUGGGGCGGUCUCCUCCUAAAGAGUAACGGAGGAGUACGAAGGUGCGCUCAGACCGGUCGGAAAUCGGUCGUAGAGUAUAAAGGCAAAAGCGCGCUUGACUGCGAGACAGACACGUCGAGCAGGUACGAAAGUAGGUCUUAGUGAUCCGGUGGUUCUGUAUGGAAGGGCCAUCGCUCAACGGAUAAAAGGUACUCCGGGGAUAACAGGCUGAUACUGCCCAAGAGUCCAUAUCGACGGCAGUGUUUGGCACCUCGAUGUCGGCUC